rnacentral:rRNA from 1 species
GACGAACGCUGGCGGCGUGCUUAACACAUGCAAGUCGAGCGAGAACGGGUUAUAGCUUGCUAUAAUUGUCAGCUAAGUGGCGCACGGGUGAGUAAUGUAUAGGUAAUAUGCCUCUUACUAAGGGAUAACAAAUGGAAACGUUUGCUAAUACCUUAUACUCCUUAUUAACAGAAGUUAAUAAGGGAAAGAUUUAUUGGUAAGAGAUUAGCCUGUAUUGUAUCAGUUAGUUGGUGGGGUAAUGGCUUACCAAGACUAUGACACAUAACUGGUUUGAGGGGAUGAUCAGUCACACGGGAACUGAGACACGGUCCAGACUCCGGCGGGAGGCAGCAGUGGGGAAUAUUGCACAAUGGACGAAAGUCUGAUGCAGCAACGCUGCGUGGAGGAUGACACAUUUCGUUGCGUAAACUCCGUUUAUAUGAGAAGAUAAUGACGGUAUUAUAUGAAUCAGCACCGGCUAACUCCGUGCCAGCAGCCGCCGCCU